GGGACACAGCCUCACGCUCUUGCCCAAGGUUCCACAGCCGUUUCCACAACCACACGUUCGCCCGCAGUCCCUGCCUCUUCCCUCUUCCCUCGCCCGCUGCGGGACGGGGCAACAGAGUAAACUGAGGCCACGGCGCCAUCACCUGUCUCCGCGCUCCCCGAAAGUGGCUCUUCUCUCUGGAGGUCUUCGGCCACAGUUCCUGGGCAACAGAGAAGCCUGAAGUUAGGACGCUGGACUCGACUUCUCCUCUGGGCGCAUAGUGGCAAGCGUGCCAGCAGCCCCACGCCGCGCGCCGCCAUUGUCAGAGCAGCAGACGCACGGAGCCGAAAGGUCAGCGUGCUUCCGCGCAUGCACUCUGAGAAGAGGAAACUGAAUGAGGCGCACAAGUCAGACCCCCAAGUCCAACUUGCAGUGCUAUUGCUUUGUCCUCUACAAAAGGAAAAGAAGAAAGAAAGAAAAGAUCCUUGGAGGGGGCAAGAGAGAAGCGAGAUUGCCCUGCCGUGUCCUUUCCUCCGCAGGCUGCUGUACCUCCCAGAGCAUCUAUAACUGGCUCCCUUAGGAGAUGCUCUGCCCAGCUGUCUUCCUGUGGGUAGAAGUGCCUGCCCCUGCCAGGGGGUCACAAGGCGGAAGAAACCAACCGCUAGCUGGAUGGGGACCGGCACCUGGGGAAGGGCCUGAUCCCUCCUCAGGAUGGAGCCCACAUGCUGUCUCCGUGGUAGCCACUUCUGUUUGGUCUAUGGCAACCCAGCCGGGUUAGGGAGAGAAGCCUCCCAGAGAAGAUUUAUAGGUAAAAGCUCAAAGACACUAAAAACUAGGCUUGUUCUUAUCUGUUCCAACGCACUAAAAAAUGAGCGCUCUGUGGAGGUCCCAGGGACUCAAAAAUAUGCCUUUAAAUGGACCUUUCUAAAGAAACUGUUAAGAUCUCUCUAAAGCCUCUGCAAACUAUGUCAGACAUUCAACGGUUUCCUAGCUGGGUAUUUCCUUCAUAAUGUCUUGUUUCUUAUCAAUAUUAGAUAUUUUUCCAAGAACUCAAGGGACAUUUGCAGCGGGAUAAUCCAGUUCACAUGGUAAAGAUGAAACCACUACCACAGAGCUUGUGAUGCAAUGCAGUAAGCGUAAUAAAACAGCCACUAAAUGAAACCAGAAGGUUCCGUAUCUUAAAAGAAAAACCACAGUGAUAAGGCUUCAACCUGCGGGGUUGGUUACCCAGGUUUCUCCACGCACUGACACGGGUUUCUGUUACUUAGUAGUUACUGUUACCAUUCAGCUGGAAGAAAGCUCAACCACCAAUAAGCUCUACUUGAUUUCUCCAGCAUCGAAGAGGUUAAAUUUUUCACUCUAUGUCUGUCUUUUUUCCCCUAUAAUCUCACUGUUUUCUACAUUUAAACAUUGAAAUGAUGACCACAUUUACUAAGUAUCUUGGUUUCCAAAAUAAAGAAACUAAAGCUCAGAAGGAUUAAAUAGCUUUUCCAAAUCACACAGCUAGUA